rnacentral:rRNA from 1 species
GACGAACCGUGCGAACGUUAUUCGGAAUCACUGGGCUUAAAGGGCGCGUAGGCGGGCCUGAAAGUCAGGGGUGAAAGCCCCAGCUUAACUGGGGAAGUGCCUCUGAUACUUCAGGCCUCGAGGAGGUAGGGCGUGCGGAACUUCCGGUGGAGCGGUGAAAUGCGUAGAUAUCGGAAGGAACGUCGGUGGCGAAAGCGGCGCGCUGGACCUCUUCUGACGCUGAGGCGCGAAAGCCAGGGGAGCGAACGGG